rnacentral:rRNA from 1 species
GAUGAACGCUGGCGGCGUGCCUAAUACAUGCAAGUCGAGCGAACGGACGAGAAGCUUGCUUCUCUGAUGUUAGCGGCGGACGGGUGAGUAACACGUGGAUAACCUACCUAUAAGACUGGGAUAACUUCGGGAAACCGGAGCUAAUACCGGAUGAUAUUUUGAACCGCAUUGUUCAAAAGUGAAAGACGGUCUUGCUGUCACUUAUAGAUGGAUCCGCGCUGCAUUAGCUAGUUGGUAAGGUAACGGCUUACCAAGGCAACGAUGCAUAGCCGACCUGAGAGGGUGAUCGGCCACACUGGAACUGAGACACGGUCCAGACUCCUACGGGAGGCAGCAGUAGGGAAUCUUCCGCAAUGGGCGAAAGCCUGACGGAGCAACGCCGCGUGAGUGAUGAAGGUCUUCGGAUCGUAAAACUCUGUUAUUAGGGAAGAACAUAUGUGUAAGUAACUGUGCACAUCUUGACGGUACCUAAUCAGAAAGCCACGGCUAACUACGUG